GACGAACGCUGGCGGCGUGCCUAAUACAUGCAAGUUGAGCGCUGAAGGUUGGUACUUGUACCAACUGGAUGAGCAGCGAACGGGUGAGUAACGCGUGGGGAAUCUGCCUUUGAGCGGGGGACAACAUUUGGAAACGAAUGCUAAUACCGCAUAAAAACUUUAAACACAAGUUUUAAGUUUGAAAGAUGCAAUUGCAUCACUCAAAGAUGAUCCCGCGUUGUAUUAGCUAGUUGGUGAGGUAAAGACUCACCAAGGCGAUGAUACAUAGCCGACCUGAGAGGGUGAUCGGCCACAUUGGGACUGAGACACGGCCCAAACGCCUACGGGAGGCAGCAGUAGGGAAUCUUCGGCAAUGGACGAAAGUCUGACCGAGCAACGCCGCGUGAGUGAAGAAGGUUUUCGGAUCGUAAAACUCUGUUGGUAGAGAAGAACGUUGGUGAGAGUGGAAAGCUCAUCAAGUGACGGUAACUACCCAGAAAGGGACGGCUAACUACGUG
rnacentral:rRNA from 1 species